GUCGCUCGGGUGGCCUGCCCUUCGCGGUGCCUAGGUGGCUGAGCGAGGAGGACCCGGCGGAGCCACGGGCCGGGCAGUUCUCAGUGGUGGCUCAGGUGCUUCACGAGUGCUCUGCCCUCCGCGUGCGCUGGGGACAUGCCGCCGCCCCAGGCAGCCCAUGGGUGUCCUGCACUCCUGACCCUCGGCGUCCGCCCGUCCCUCGCGAGCCUGGUGACCUUGGCUGGCCCUCUGCUUCCGAGCCUCGGCCGCCGCGCCUGCAUAAUGGGUGUUGUCCACGCGUCGGUUUCCGAAGCGCAGUUUGAAAACGCGGGGAGCGCCUGGCAGGCUUCAUUAUUGCUGUCACUGGAGCCUUCUAGGGCGCCUUUUAGCUUCAGAGUUGCCCUAAUCCGACUCACGAUCCCCAUCGUUGCACUUGUCCAGGAAAGUAGACGUUCUCACCUUUUGCGGGCUUUAAAGAUGACCGUGCUGGUCUUCACAGGAGACGUCUUGGGUAGUCUUAAGGAAGCGGAGAACUUGGGAACCUUCAAUGAAUACGGUCCCUGACUUAAUGAUGGUUCGACUUAUGAGCUUUCAACUUUACAAUGAUGUGCUAGCAAUACAUUUUCAGUAGAAACCAUUCAUCGAAUUUUGAAUUUCAAUCUGUUCCCUGGCUGGCGAUAUGCGGUACAAUACUCUCACUCAGUGGUGGGCAGCAGCUGCCAGCUAUAGCUCCCAGACAGCCACGUGAUCACAAGGGUAAACUUUGCAGUGUACUGUGUUGCCAACACUUUUUGGAUUUUGUGUUUUGUAUUUUUGCAUCCCAUCAUGUCUACAAAACGCCCAUCUGUGUCUCCUGCUUCUGGUGAAAAGAAGAGGAGGAAGGCAAUUACUCUUGAGAUGAAACUCAAAAUAAUUGCUCAGCAUGAAGGUGGCAAGCCAGUAAUGGUCAUUGCACGGGAGUCAGGACUGUCACAGUCCACGAUCUCAACCAUCUUAAAGGAUAAGAAACGAAUCAGCGAUGCAGUGAAAUCAUCAGCAUCAGUUAAAUCCACUGUCAUUACAAAGAAAAGAGCCGGGCCAAUUGAUGAUAUGGAAAAAUUACUUGUUGAGUGGAUAGAUGAGCAGAUACGAAAGCGUGCACCACUUAGUCUCCUGAUGAUCCAGGCUAAGGCAAGAAGUCUUUUCAAUAUGCUGAAAGAACAUGCUGAUCCUACAUACACACAGAUGUUUACUGCAAGUCAUGGGUGGUUCCAGCGCUUCAAAAGGCGUCAUAAUUUUCACACUGUGAAGGUCAGUGGUGAGGCAGCAAGUGCCGAUAUUGAAUGUGCUGAAGCUUUUAAGGAAGAGCUGCAUAGGAUAAUUGUGGAUCAGAAAUAUUUACCAGAACAGAUAUUUAAUGUUGAUGAAACAAGCUUGUUCUGGAAGCGUCUGCCUGAGCAUACAUACGUUCCUCAGGAGUACAAGACAAUACCAGGAUUCAGAGACCAUGUAACUGUGCUUUUGGGUGGAAAUGUUUCAGGAUUCAAAUUAAAGCCUUUUCUCAUCUACCACUCAGAGAACCCUAGAGCAUUUAAGAAUGUGAGCAAGCAUACACUUCCUGUUUAUUAUCGCCAUAAUAAGAAAGCCUGGAUGACUUCAGUGUUGUUUGAAGACUGGUUUUUGAACUGUUUUAUUCCACAGGCAAGAGAAUAUUGUAGGCAAAACAAUAUCCCAUUCAGGAUUCUUCUGAUCUUAGAUGACGCUCCAGGGCAUCCACAACAUAUUGGAGCCAUGCAUCCUGAUGUAAAGGUGGUUUAUUUGCCACUCAACACAACCACACUCAUUCAACCAAUGGACCAAGGUGCAAUAGCUGCCUUCAAAGCACACUAUUUACGCCAGACAUUUGCUCAGGCUGUUGAAGCAACUGAAUCUGGCCAAACACUCCAGGAAUUUUGGAAAGGUUUUAACAUUCUAAAUGCUAUCCAGAACAUUGCUGCAGCAUGGGAAGAAGUCACACAACAAUGCAUGAACUGCAUUUGGAAGAAAGUUUUGAAGACAUAUGUGAACGCAUUCAAAGGUUUUAACAAAGGCCCUGCUGUUGAUGAUGUGGUAAGUAACAACAUAUUAACUCUUGGGAAGCAAUUAAAAUUAGACAUCCAUGAAGACGAUAUUCAUGAAAUUGUCAGCAUUAAAACUGAAGAGAUUUCCAAUGAGGAGCUAAUUGAACCAGAGAAGGAAAGAAGUAAAGAAGUUAAAGCAGAGGAAGAAAUUAUAUGGAAGGCACCAAGAAAGUUCACAGCAAAAAAACUUGCAGAGGCAUUUGCUACUAUCAGCAGCGGUAUGCGGAUGUUAGAAGAAAUGGACAGCAAUUAUGAGAGAUACGCAAGAGCUGACAGGCAGAUUCAAGAUGCUCUUGCUUGCUAUAGAGAAAUAUAUAAUGAAGAAAAGAAACUGACUGUACAGUCAAAACUUGAUCUCUUUCUGAAAAACACUAUGCCUGCUAAACUGUCAACAAGUGUCAAUGCCUCAGUGCCUUCCACCAGUUAUUCUCAAGCCUUGUCAGAAGAGAGAGGAGUCAGUACUCUUGUUGCUGUAGCAUCCACAUCAUCCAGCAGUUAAUUUUAGUUCAAUGCAUCAAACAUUCUUCAGGGCCAGUGUGUUUUCAUCUGUGUACAUUAAUGGUUGCACUGCUGUGAUCAUCACCUCCCAAAGAUGCAUCCUGACUUAUCUUCGCACUUGCACACUGAAGAAUGCAACAUCUUGAUUAACUUGCUUAAGGAAUGUCACAAAAAUCACAACAUUCUGAAAUUUUUUGGUCAUUGCAACGCUCUUGAUCGGGAGAUGAGAAAAUGCUUGAAGAAUGAGGUAAGAAGAAUGUCAAAGGCUGGAGUACAUGGAAAAGAGGACCAGGAGCAGGGAGCAUGGCAAUGCAAUGCGAAAAAGACUUUUCAGUCCUCUGGAGGAAUCAGAAAAAUAAUUUACAUUUUUACGGGAUAUCUUGGCUGAGAGAAGACCUGAGGACUGUUGAUUGAUAGCCAAAAGAAUCUUAUCUCAUUUGUUGUCCAGAAUCUUUGAACAGAGAGUGAUCAUUGAAGAGUCAAACCAUGGAGAAAUAUGAAAAACUAGAUUCUGAGCAUUUGAGCAGAGCCUUCAGUACUAUCAACUCCCCAACAAGCCCGACUUCCUCCAUGUUUUUGCUCUUUGUUGAUAUCCGUGUAGUGUUUGAAUAACCUAUCUCCUUCAAUAAAGUAAUUAAAAUAA